rnacentral:rRNA from 1 species
AUGAGGAACUUGAAAGAUGAAAGAACCAAGAUUUUUUCCUCAACUACGAGGGGAGGUAAGGAACUGCCAUCUAGCUCUGCACUUGAUUCUCCUUCUAUUUUGAGUAAACUUGUGACACCUACUCCUGCUAUUGAUUCUGAUAUGUCUCAUGUUAUUGAUGAUGCCACUUCUGCUAUGCAUGAUGCUUAUGAUGAAACUACUUCUAUGCUUGAUAAUACUGUGCCAUUAGGUGAAUUUCUGAAUGAACAACUUGCUAGGGUUAGGGAGAAUGAAAUUAUUGAAACAGAUAAUUUUGAUGAAAGUGAUGAUGAAGAUUCUCCCUCUAGAUAUGAAUUGCCUGAUGUGCCUGAGGGUUAUGUUAUGGAUGAAGAAAACUGCUAG